rnacentral:rRNA from 1 species
CCUACGGGGGGCAGCAGUGGGGGAUAUUGCACAAUGGGGGGAACCCUGAUGCAGCGACGCCGCGUGGGUGAUGAAGCGCCUCGGCGCGUAAAGCCCUGUCAGCAGGGAAGAAAAUGACGGUACCUGAAGAAGAAGCCCCGGCUAACUACGUGCCAGCAGCCGCGGUAAUACGUAGGGGGCAAGCGUUAUCCGGAUUUACUGGGUGUAAAGGGGGCGCAGACGGCGAUGCAAGCCAGGAGUGAAAGCCCGGGGCCCAACCCCGGGACUGCUCUCGGAACUGCGUGGCUAGAGUGCAGGAGGGGCAG